rnacentral:rRNA from 1 species
UCCUCCCUCUUUCUUCGUGCUUAACACAUGCAAGUCGAACGGAAAGGCCCUGCUUUUGUGGGGUGCUCGAGUGGCGAACGGGUGAGUAACACGUGAGUAACCUGCCCUUGACUUUGGGAUAACUUCAGGAAACUGGGGCUAAUACCGGAUAGGAGCUCCUGCUGCAUGGUGGGGGUUGGAAAGUUUCGGCGGUUGGGGAUGGACUCGCGGCUUAGCAGCUUGUUGGUGGGGUAGUGGCUUACCAAGGCUUUGCAGGGUAGCCGGCCUGAGAGGGUGACCGGCCACAGUGGGACUGAGAGACGGCCCAGAGGCCUACGGGAGGCAGCAGUGGGGAAUAUUGCACAAUGGGCGGAAGCCUGAUGCAGCAACGCCGCGUGCGGGAUUACGGCCUUCGGGUUGUAAACCGCUUUCGCCUGUGACGAAGCGUGAGUGACGGGAAUGGGUAAAGAAGCACCGGCGAACUACGU